GCGGACGUAGCUCAGUUGGUAGAGCCCCGGUUUGUGGUACCGGUUGUCGUCGGUUCGAGCCCGAUCGUCCGCCCCA
rnacentral:tRNA from 3 species